UUUAUCAUAACUUUUAUAACUUUUAUGCACAUAACUUAUACACGUAUAUAAAAUAUUUACCUGGUAUAGAAAAAAAAUUGAAAAGAAAAAAAAACACACGCGGGGCGCACAGCGGGGCCAGCACAUGGGCGGGAGCCGCGUGGGAUCCACCGGCCGUUCGCGUCACGCGCCGCUUCGCCUUGCAGCGCGCGCGAUCACCUUCGAGUUUUUACCUACAAAUCAACCACUUGGUAACGUCUAGUAAACUAUCGGACUUAUAAAUCCGACAGCAAGCCGGUGAAGUAAAAUUAGGCAAGUGCAAAACUGGCAGCUACCAUAUAUAUAAGGCCCUAUUUGGAUACACCCUCCUAAAGAUUAGGAGUCCACUUUCAGGAUACUUUUAGGACUUGUACAUCCAAACAUGGGUCCUAAAAAUGCAC
rnacentral:lncRNA from 1 species